AGUCAACCCACGAAACGAGCGUGCCGGUGCUCAGCCGACAGAAAAGGCAGAAUGCACAAGCCAGGGAUCGGCUCGAUCCCCCUCUACGUGCUGCCAGUCCCACUGCCACAACCCUCGGUCUGGCUGGGGCUUAGACAUGGAGUGAACUCCCUAUGCCUAAGCCAACCCACGAAACGGGGGUGCAGGCGCUCAGUCGGUCGGAGAGGCAGAAUGCGCAAGCCGGGGAUCGACCCGGUCCCUCCUGCGUGCUGUCG
rnacentral:lncRNA from 1 species